UAGGAGAUGCAAAGCGCCGAGAGAGGAGAUCCCGGCCGCGAUGGCACUUUUCCACCGCAUCUCGGCAUGGAUUGGAGCGCUCGUCCCAAGAGAUGGGAAGGUAAAAAACACUGUAUGGCCACAUGAUAAUUGACCGGCGGGAGUUACCAUCUUAUGAUUCCUUCUUGGUUUGCUAAAUCUGAACCAGAAUGAUCCAGCAACAGCUUUCUGGAUCCUAUAACUAGAAUUCUUCAAAAUAAAACAAAGAUGGGCAUGCAAAAUCAGCAAGAAGAAGCUUCUUAAUGAACGUAAUAUUCUUCACCAUCAACUUGAAGAAUGCAGUAUUAACUUUCUUAUAUGAGAAGAACAUAAGAACAUAAGUUCACAAUUAGUCCAUCACUGUCCAUGCUUUAUGUCUCCCGACAACCUUGGACAGCAGGUGCAACACUAUCACGAUAAGGCAAGUUUACAUUGGGACAUGCAAUGUUGGUUAGGCACGACUCAUGGCACAGGAUAUUAGCAUACAGAAAAUGCCAGAGAAGCAACUCGUCUGAAAAUCUCAAUUUGAUCAGCAUCGAUCAUGGUGACAUAAUGGAUGACGACAUGCAAAAAAAUUAUGCCAGAUAAUAUCAUAGACAAUGUUUAAAGACUGAGGAAGCACAUAAGUCAGUCAUCCGACUUGUUCUCAGAAACUGUUAGUGAACCAGGGGAAGAUGGAGAUGCCAUUCAUUCCCUACGGUAAAGCUAUUCCAAACAGGUUCUCUCAAAGUUGAGGCUGUGGAAAAUUUCCUUGAUUUUGACAGUCAAGGAAGAUGUCAUUUGCAUGGGAAACUAUAGCAGACAGGUUCCUUGAAAGAUGCCUUGGGGCUGAAGCAUUUUCAAGAUGCGACAGCCAAAUCGCUGAAAGUUAUCUGCGUUUUAAAUGGCAAGUUAACUGCACUUGUAUAUCUGGGCUACCCUCCUUUCUAAAGAAUAUUGCUCCCUUGAGACUUUGUUUCAUAAUUUAUCAAUAGAAUAAAAAAUAUUUUAUAGGAAACUGCUUUUAUCAUGGACUCAUAGCUUAAAAGCUUAUGUUAGGAGGAAUAGCCCAGACUAAUAAACUCAUGUGGCAUUCUUUUUAUCAGUCAGUGUAGGACUAUGAUAACCUCCUUCACU